GAUGAACGCUGGCGGCGUGCCUAAUACAUGCAAGUCGAGCGCAGCGGGGACGGGUGAGUAACACGUGGAUAACCUCCUAUACGUCUGGGACAACUUCGGGACACCGGAGCUAAACGGGAUACUCAUAUAUGGAUCCGCGCUGCAUUAGCUAGUUGGUAAGGGAACGGCUUACCAAGGCAACGAUGCAUAGCCGACCUGAGAGGGUGAUCGGCCACACUGGAACUGAGCCACGGUCCAGACGCCUACGGGAGGCAGCAGUAGGGAAUCUUCCGCAAUGGGCGAAAGCCUGACCGAGCAACGCCGCGUGAGUGAUGAAGGUUUUCGGAUCGUAAAACUCUGUUAUUAGGGAAGCGGUACCUAAUCAGAAAGCCACGGCUAACUACGUGCCAGCAGCCGCGGUAAUUC
rnacentral:rRNA from 1 species